ACAAAGUCAUUUCAACAUUCAAAGUUAGAAGAAGUAGAGUGUAGAGAGAAGGAGCUCACGGCUAAGAGCUAGCCAAGAGUAGUGAGUGAAUUUCAACUCCAAAAAAAUCAGUUUUCUUCCUCAAAUCAACUCCUCAUUUAGUGUACAAGAAUAUGUAGUAGUUGUUGAAACGAAACCAAGAAGUGUAGCACCUCAAUAGUGUUGAAAAUUCGUCCAAAGUGAAGAACAAGAUUGUAAGGAUAAGUGUUAUUGGGCAGCAAGUACAAGUAUAAUACGACUAAACGCUAAAGGUACAGACGCUCGUUUUGGAGAUCCGCCAGCGUAGGAUACCUAUUCAGCUAUUUUGGACUGCUCCUUUGUUUCGGAGCCUAGCUUGUGGUAUAACUCCCUUUUGUCGUAUAUGUAUGUGUUUAUUCGGGGUACGGCGGGGCCCUGUCCCGCCAUAUGAUCCGUUUGGUCUGUUUAGAGGUCUGUAGACGUAUUUGUGGGUGUAUGUGCCUACUUCUGUACAAAUGUGUUUGUAUGACCCUGUUCGUUAUGGCAGCCUUGUCGGCUCGCACAUGUAUAUGUUGUUCUGUUGGCCCUGUGUGGCCUUUGUGGUAUUUGCUGUGUACAGGGUUAUUUUGGAUAGUCCGAAAAACAAAGGAAACUCUGCCGAAUUUUUUUUCUGAAAAUCUUAUAAAUUUGAAACACCGCCUUGUCG